rnacentral:rRNA from 1 species
AUUCUGGUGUCCCAGGCGUAGAGGAACCACACCAACCCAUCCCGAACUUGGUGGUUAAACUCUACUGCGGUGACGAUACUGUAGGGGAAGCCCUAUGGGAAAAUAGCUCGGUGCCAGGAU